rnacentral:rRNA from 1 species
GCGGCACGCCUAACACAUGCAAGUCGAACGAAGUAGCAAUACUUAGUGGCAGACGGGUGAGUAACAUGUGGGUAUCUGCCCUUUUGGCCUGGAAUAACACGAGGAAACUUGUGCUAAUACCGGAUAAGUCUUUACGGAGAAAGCUUUAUGCACCAUUGGAUGAGCCCGCACUUGAUUAGUUUGUUGGUGGGGUAAUGGCCUACCAAGACUGUGAUCAAUAGCUGAUUUGAGAGGAUGAUCAGCCACAUUGGGACUGAGACACGGCCCAAACUCCUACGGGAGGCAGCAGUGGGGAAUCUUGCACAAUGGAGGAAACUCUGAUGCAGCGAUGCCGCGUGAGUGAAGAAGGCCCUUGGGUUGUAAAGCUCUUUCGUCGGGGAAGAAAAUGACUGUACCCGAAUAAGAAGGUCCGGCUAACUUCGUGCCAGCAGCCGCGGUAAUACGAAGGGACCUAGCGUAGUUCGGAAUUACUGGGCUUAAAGAGUUCGUAGGUGGUUGAAAAAGUUAGUGGUGAAAUCCCAGAGCUUAACUCUGGAACUGCCAUUAAAACUUUUCAGCUAGAGUAUGAUAGAGGAAAGCAGAAUUUCUAGUGUAGAGGUGAAAUUCGUAGAUAUUAGAAAGAAUACCAAUUGCGAAGGCAGCUUUCUGGAUCAUUACUGACACUGAGGAACGAAAGCAUGGGUAGCGAAGAGGAUUAGAUACCCUCGUAGUCCAUGCCGUAAACGAUGUGUGUUAGACGUUGGAAAUUUAUUUUCAGUGUCGCAGCGAAAGCGAUAAACACACCGCCUGGGGAGUACGACCGCAAGGUUAAAACUCAAAUGAAUUGACGGGGACCCGCACAAGUAGUGGAGCAUGUGGUUUAAUUCGAAGAUACGCGCAGAACCUUACCAACACUUGACAUGUUCGUCGCGACUCUAAGAGAUUAGAGUUUUCGGUUCGGCCGGACGAAACACAGGUGCUGCAUGGCUGUCGUCAGCUCGUGUCGUGAGAUGUUGGGUUAAGUCCCGCAACGAGCGCAACCCUCACUUUUAGUUGCCAUCAUUAAGUUGGGCACUCUGAAAGAACUGCCAGUGAUAAGCUGGAGGAAGGUGGGGAUGACGUCAAGUCCUCAUGGCCCUUACGUGUUGGGCUACACACGUGCUACAAUGGUAUCUACAACAGGAAGCAAGACUGCGAGGUCAAGCAAAUCCUUAAAAGAUACCUCAGUUCGGAUUGCACUCUGCAACUCGAGUGCAUGAAGCUGGAAUUACUAGUAAUCGUGGAUCAGCGUGCCACGGUGAAUGCGUUCCCGGGUCUUGUACACACCGCCCGUCACACCAUGGGAGUUGGUUCUACCUUAAGGCAAGGCUUAAAACCCUUGACCACGGUAUAGUCAGCGACUGGGGUGAAGUCAUAAC